rnacentral:rRNA from 1 species
AUGCCUGAUUUUUUAAUGUCUACUGUGAUUUGCUGUGCUAUUAAUAAGUGCAGUGGAAUAAUAUAUCUAUAUGUACCUGCACCUGCACCAGAAGUUGUAUUGCUCAAUACAAGCUACAUAUGUGUGAUAAUAUUCAGGCUGUGGGCACUUGAUGAUGCACUGGCUGUGGAGUGCUAUUAUAUAAAAAAAUGUGUGGUUUUAUCUAUUGCUUAUCGAUAUGGUUGUAAUCUUCUACUCCACAAGGAUGGGUCAGGUGCAAUGGGGAGUUUUUUAGGUAAAGUUCUAUGGUCACUCUCUCUAGUCUCCACCCUAUGUGGAUAG